GAUGAACGCUGGCGGCGUGCCUAAUACAUGCAAGUCGAGCGAACAGACGAGGAGCUUGCUCCUCUGACGUUAGCGGCGGACGGGUGAGUAACACGUGGAUAACCUACCUAUAAGACUGGGAUAACUUCGGGAAACCGGAGCUAAUACCGGAUAAUAUAUUGAACCGCAUGGUUCAAUAGUGAAAGACGGUUUUGCUGUCACUUAUAGAUGGAUCCGCGCCGCAUUAGCUAGUUGGUAAGGUAACGGCUUACCAAGGCAACGAUGCGUAGCCGACCUGAGAGGGUGAUCGGCCACACUGGAACUGAGACACGGUCCAGACUCCUACGGGAGGCAGCAGUAGGGAAUCUUCCGCAAAGGGCGAAAGCCUGACGGAGCAACUCCGCGUGAGUGAUGAAGGUCUUCGGAUCGUAAAACUCUGUUAUUAGGGAAGAACAAAUGUGUAAGUAACUAUGCACGUCUUGACGGUACCUAAUCAGAAAGCCACGGCUAACUACGUG
rnacentral:rRNA from 1 species